AGUCAGCCCAGCUAGGCUCGAACGGAGGGUGUUUCUUAAAGGGAGAGGCGCUUGGGUUAUCUUUUCCGUCCCACUUUCUUGAAUGGAAUGGACCUCUGAGGUUCCACGACGCGCCUCCACUCGAGCCGGGACGCGUGGUUUGAACUGCUUCUGAGAAGCCUCAAAGAGGCGCCUCGCGCUUUGCUGCUUCUUAGCAGACGGAGCGCUCGGGCCUGCGUGCAUCACAGCUGCACGGACUAGUGUUCAAGCUCUCCGCCAGGGUAUCCGGAUUGGGAAACUUCUCCCGGGUAGUCUGGCACCCCGACACCCUCGGGGACAAAAGAGCCACUCACGUCCCGCCUUCGCGCCUUAGUGCUAAGAGAGGUUCACUUUGGACCUGGAACUUUACGAGGGGGAAGAAAGCAGAGACUGACUGAGUUUGGAGACCUGAAGUAUCUGAUGCCACGUAUGGUUUCGUCUGAGCUCCUGAGAGUGGAAGGGGGGAGAGUAUUGAAGCAAAAUGGGCAGCUCUCUUUUGGAGUUAGGAGUUGUAGUUGGCUACUUUAUGUCUCUUCACCUCAGCUGCAGUCAUUCAAAUAUUUGGGUCCGAACUGUUCCAGGCCGGGUUUUCUUGAGAAGAUUGAGCAGAACCAAACAGAAUCCUUGUUCUAAAGAGUAGGUCUUCCUAUAACAUGAAAGAAUAAUUAGCAGGAUGAGAGUGAGCCAUGCCCUUGGACCACCUGGAGAGGAGAACCCACAGUGUUAGGAGGUUCCCAGAUUAGGGGUCUCAUUGGAACUACAGCUGCCAGCCUAUACCACAGCUACAGAAACUCGGGAUCUGAGCCGUGUCUGCAACCCUACACCACAGCUCAUGGCAAUGCCAGAUCCCCGACCUGCUGAGUGAGGCCAGGAAUUGAACCCCCAUCCUCAUGGGUACUAGCUGGAUUGUUUCCCCUGCGCCACAACAGGAACUCCAGUAUUUGUCUUUUUCUGACUUACUUCACUAGUAUGUUGCUUUCAAGGUCCAGCCGCAUUAUCACAAAUGGGAAGAACUCUUUUUUUAUGGCUGAGUAUUAUUCCAUUGUGCAUAUACACAUCUUCCAUCUCCAUUCAUUCAUCACUGGAUACUUAGGUUGUUUCCAUAUCUUGGCUACUGUAAAUAAUGCGGCAGUGAACAUGGGGGUGCACGAAUCUUUUCAGGUCUGUGUAUUUGUUUUCUUUGGAUAAAUAUCUAGAAGUGGAAUUUUUGGAUUUAAUUUUUUGAGCAACCUUCAUACUCUUUUCUGUAGUAGCUGCAGCAUUUUACAUUCCCAGUCAUGGUGCCCAGAGGUUUCCUUUUCUCUACAUCAGUGUUACCACUUUUUCUUGUCUUUUCGAUAAAAGACAUUCUAAUAAGUUUGAGGUGAUACCUCAUUGUGGUUUUGAUUUUUCUAAUGAUUAGUGAUAUUUAGGAUUUUUCAUGUACCAAUUGGCCAUCUGUAUGUCUUUUUUUGGGGAAAAAAGUGUAUGUCUUAUGC
rnacentral:lncRNA from 1 species